rnacentral:snRNA from 1 species
AAAAAGGGUCUCUGUCCUUAGUGGCACACAUAGGGCAACUCAAUUGUUUUUCAUGUGGAAUCCUCUAAAAAGUUUUCAGAGGUAUAAUUCUUUAGUUAUUUAGCAUCUGAUGAUUAUUGGCCUAGCACCC